rnacentral:rRNA from 1 species
GACGAACGCUGGCGGCGUGCUUAACACAUGCAAGUCGAACGGAAAGGCCCUGCUUUUGUGGGGUGCUCGAGUGGCGAACGGGUGAGUAACACGUGAGUAACCUGCCCUUGACUUUGGGAUAACUUCAGGAAACUGGGGCUAAUACCGGAUAGGAGCUCCUGCUGCAUGGUGGGGGUUGGAAAGUUUCGGCGGUUGGGGAUGGACUCGCGGCUUAUCAGCUUGUUGGUGGGGUAGUGGCUUACCAAGGCUUUGACGGGUAGCCGGCCUGAGAGGGUGACCGGCCACAUUGGGACUGAGAUACGGCCCAGACUCCUACGGGAGGCAGCAGUGGGGAAUAUUGCACAAUGGGCGGAAGCCUGAUGCAGCAACGCCGCGUGCGGGAUGACGGCCUUCGGGUUGUAAACCGAUUUAGACUGUGACGAAGCGUGAGUGACGGUAAUGGGUAAAGAAGCACCGGCUAACUACGUG